GACGUAGGGCGCAAGCGUUGUCCGGAAUUAUUGGGCGUAAAGAGCUCGUAGGCGGCUUGUCGCGUCGUGUGUGAAAUCUCAGGGCUCAACUCUGACAUUGCAUACGAUACGGGCAGGCUUGAGUUCGGUAGGGGAGACUGGAAUUCCUGGUGUAGCGGUGAAAUGCGCAGAUAUCAGGAGGAACACCGGUGGCGAAGGCGGGUCUCUGGGCCGAUACUGACGCUGAGGAGCGAAAGCGUGGGGAGCGAACAGG
rnacentral:rRNA from 1 species